rnacentral:rRNA from 1 species
CCUACGGGAAGGCAGCAGUAGGGAAUCUUCCGCAAUGGACGAAAGUCUGACGGAGCAACGCCGCGUGAGUGAUGAAGGUUUUCGGAUCGUAAAGCUCUGUUGUUAGGGAAGAACAAGUGCCGUUCAAAUAGGGCGGCACCUUGACGGUACCUAACCAGAAAGCCACGGCUAACUACGUGCCAGCAGCCGCGGUAAUACGUAGGUGGCAAGCGUUGUCCGGAAUUAUUGGGCGUAAAGGGCUCGCAGGCGGUUUCUUAAGUCUGAUGUGAAAGCCCCCGGCUCAACCGGGGAGGGUCAUUGGAAACUGGGGAACUUGAGUGCAGAAGAGGAGAGUGGAAUUCCACGUGUAGCGGUGAAAUGCGUAGAGAUGUGGAGGAACACCAGUGGCGAAGGCGACUCUCUGGUCUGUAACUGACGCUGAGGAGCGAAAGCGUGGGGAGCGAACAGGAUUAGAUACCCUGGUAGUCCACGCCGUAAACGAUGAGUGCUAAGUGUUAGGGGGUUUCCGCCCCUUAGUGCUGCAGCUAACGCAUAAGCACUCCGCCUGGGAGACUCCCAUUA